rnacentral:tRNA from 1 species
AGUAGAAUCAGCUAAUUUAAAGCUUUCGGGCCCAUACCCCGAACAUGUUGGUUAAAGUCCUUCUUCUGCUA